rnacentral:rRNA from 1 species
UGCAGUCGACGGAGAUAAAGAUUUCGGUUUUUAUCUUAGUGGCGCACGGGUGAGUAACACGUGAAUAACCUGACCCAAAGAGGGGGAUAACACCUGGAAGCAGGUGCUAAUACCGCAUAAGACCACAAUGUCGCAUGACGAAGGGGUCAAAGAAAAUCGCUUUGGGAGGGGUUCGCGUCCCAUUAGGUAGUAGGCGGGGUAAUAGCCCACCUAGCCGACGAUGGGUAGCCGAGCUGAGAGGCUGAUCGGCCACACUGGAACUGAGACACGGUCCAGACUCCUACGGGAGGCAGCAGUGGGGAAUAUUGGGCAAUGGGCGCAAGCCUGACCCAGCAACGCCGCGUGAGGGAAGAAGGUUUUCGGAUUGUAAACCUCUGUCGCAGAAGACGAAGGAAGUGACGGUAUUCUGUGAGGAAGCCCCGGCUAACUACGUGCCAGCAGCCGCGGUAAUACGUAGGGGGCGAGCGUUGUCCGGAAUUACUGGGCGUAAAGGGAGCGUAGGCGGUCUGAUAAGUUGGAUGUGAAAUACCCGGGCUUAACUUGGGGGGUGCAUCCAAUACUGUUGGACUAGAGUACAGGAGAGGAAAGCGGAAUUCCUAGUGUAGCGGUGAAAUGCAUAGAUAUUAGGAGGAACAUCGGUGGCGAAGGCGGCUUUCUGGACUGCAACUGACGCUGAGGCUCGAA